rnacentral:lncRNA from 1 species
AAAAUAUUUUGGGCAUGGUUAAUGUUUUAAUAUUUUAUGUUUUUCUAACAACAUCCUACUAUUUUAUCCUCCAAAGACCCAGUUAUGAAUUAUAACAGGACAUUAAACUUGUAAGAUGCAUAAUUAUUCCUGCUUUUUUUUUGAGGGUAGAGACACUUGGAUAAAAUUUUAAAAAUGAAACACUAAGAGAAGGUUAAAUUGUAAGUUUCUGUGACAAUGGCUAUUCAGGUUGGUUAAAGUUGCUUGGACUUUUUUUUUUUUUCCUCUGAUGACAUAUGGCAUUCAGGGAAUGGUCCACAGCAGUAAGGAAAUGCUAUAGCUGAGUGAUGUAAGUAUUUGCAAUUCCUUCUUUUUUUCCUUUUGCAAGUUUGUGACUUCUUUACUAGAAAUGACAAGAUGACAUAUUUAGGCCCAAAUAAGAUCAGCUUCUCUACUCAACUCUUUAAUAGCACAAGAGUCUUAGAAAGCUUAGCACCUUUUAUAUAUACAAUUUAUAUAUUUUUAUUGUGUAUUUAAUAAUAUAGCAUAUUGAAACUCCGCAGGAUAUUAUUUAUAUUGUAUUAUAAGUUAAUAUAUUUAAGAUUUAUCCCGAUUAUUUAUCACUUUAUCUUAAUUUCUCAUCUUAGACUUUCUAUCUGAGGUCACUUUCCUUCUGGCUAAGGUACAUACUUGAGAAUCUUUUGCCUUGGGAGAGCAAAUGAGCCCCUGGUCACUGGCUGAUCCUGUGAGGUCCACAAAAAUCAAGCCUGGGAAACAUUGCUUGCCAAAGGUGAAAAUGUUAACAGCUUUGACACUCAGCUCUGAUACUGUUAUCAGACAUUCCAGUACAAUGGACUUGGGUGCAGCAGGGUAAGAGCAGGAUGUUCUCAGCACUGUAACAAUAGGAUAGCUGCAUAAAUGUUUCUAGCUCUGUUACUUUUUAGUGCAAAAAGAAGCCUCUC